GACGAACGCUGGCGGCGUGCUUAACACAUGCAAGUCGAACGGAAAGGCCCUGCUUGCAGGGUACUCGAGUGGCGAACGGGUGAGUAACACGUGGGUGACCUGCCCUGCACUUCGGGAUAAGCCUGGGAAACUGGGUCUAAUACCGGAUAGGAGCCAUUUUUAGUGUGAUGGUUGGAAAGUGUUUUCGGUGUAGGAUGAGCUCGCGGCCUAUCAGCUUGUUGGUGGGGUAAUGGCCUACCAAGGCGGCGACGGGUAGCCGGCCUGAGAGGGUGGACGGCCACAUUGGGACUGAGAUACGGCCCAGACUCCUACGGGAGGCAGCAGUGGGGAAUAUUGCACAAUGGGCGCAAGCCUGAUGCAGCGACGCCGCGUGGGGGAUGACGGCCUUCGGGUUGUAAACUCCUUUCGCUAGGGACGAAGCUUUUUGUGACGGUACCUAGAUAAGAAGCACCGGCUAACUACGUGCCAGCCGCCGCCGUAA
rnacentral:rRNA from 1 species